rnacentral:tRNA from 1 species
GGAUCUGUGGUCGAGAGGCUCAAGACGGCGGACUGUAAAUCCGUUGCCCCCAGGGGCGCCGUUGGUUCGAAUCCAACCAGGUCCACCA